rnacentral:rRNA from 1 species
GCUCACCAAGGCUAUGACGGAUAUCUGGUUUGAGAGGAUGAUCAGACACACUGGAACUGAGACACGGUCCAGACUCCUACGGGAGGCAGCAGUGAGGAAUAUUGCACAAUGGAGGAAACUCUGAUGCAGCAACGCCGCGUGGAGGAUGACGCAUUUCGGUGUGUAAACUCCUUUUAUUAGGGAAGAUAAUGACGGUACCUAAUGAAUAAGCACCGGCUAACUCCGUGCCAGCAGCCGCGGUAAUACGGAGGGUGCAAGCGUUACUCGGAAUCACUGGGCGUAAAGGGUGCGUAGGCUGGCUUUUAAGUCAGAUGUGAAAUCCAAUGGCUCAACCAUUGAACUGCAUUUGAAACUGAAAGCCUAGAGUUCAGAAGGGGCAGAUGGAAUUAGUGGUGUAGGGGUAAAAUCCGUAGAUAUCACUAGGAAUAUCAAAAGCGAAGGCGAUCUGCUGGGAUGAUACUGACGCUG